AGGGAAUUUUCGUCAAUGGGGGGAACCCUGAACGAGCAAUGCCGCGUGAGUGAGGAAGGUCUUCGGAUCGUAAAGCUCUGUUGUAAGAGAAAAACGACAUUCAUAGGGAAUGAUGAGUGAGUGAUGGUAUCUUACCAGAAAGUCACGGCUAACUACGUGCCAGCAGCCGCGGUAAUACGUAGGUGGCGAGCGUUAUCCGGAAUGAUUGGGCGUAAAGGGAGCGUAGGUGGACAGUUAAGUCAGUUGUGAAAGUUUGCGGCUCAACCGUAAAAUUGCAGUUGAUACUGGCUGUCUUGAGUACAGUAGAGGUGGGCGGAAUUCGUGGUGUAGCGGUGAAAUGCUUAGAUAUCACGAAGAACUCCGAUUGCGAAGGCAGCUCACUGGACUGCAACUGACACUGAUGCUCGAAAGUGUGGGUAUCAAACAGGAUUAGAUACCCUGGUAGUCCACACAGUAAACGAUGAAUACUCGCUGUUUGCGAUAUACAGUAAGCGGCCAAGCGAAAGCGUUAAGUAUUCCACCUGGGGAGUACGCCGGCAACGGUGAAACUCAAAGGAAUUGACGGGGGCCCGCACAAGCGGAGGAACAUGUGGUUUAAUUCGAUGAUACGCGAGGAACCUUACCCGGGCUUAAAUUGCAUUUGAAUAAUCAAGAAAUUGGUUAGUCGUAAGACAAAUGUGAAGGUGCUGCAUGGUUGUCGUCAGCUCGUGCCGUGAGGUGUCGGCUUAAGUGCCAUAACGAGCGCAACCCUUAUCUUCAGUUACUAACAGGUCAUGCUGAGGACUCUGGAGAGACUGCCGUCGUAAGAUGUGAGGAAGGUGGGGAUGACGUCAAAUCAGCACGGCCCUUACGUCCGGGGCUACACACGUGUUACAAUGGGGGGUACAGAAGGCAGCUACACGGCGACGUGAUGCCAAUCCCAAAAACCUCUCUCAGUUCGGAUCGAAGUCUGCAACCCGACUUCGUGAAGCUGGAUUCGCUAGUAAUCGCGCAUCAGCCAUGGCGCGGUGAAUACGUUCCCG
rnacentral:rRNA from 1 species